GCUGCAGUGCCUUUGUUCCAGCUACUUAGACCUAACUGAUACAGUCAGUGUACUACUGUGAAGCUCUAGGUGUAAUAUUGUAAAUCACUUUCAACAAAGGCAUCUGCAAAAGAUUAAAUAAUAAUAAUAGCUUGGGGCAAUGUGAGCCCGUGUGGGCGGAGAGUUUGAAGUGGUUGCUUCAUGGAAACUCAGUAUCAGUCACACCCGCACGCGCGCUCACACGCACACACAAACUGGGCCGCUCACAGUGGGCUACAUCACUUCCUGUGGAUGGAAAAGUGGAGCUAUUACUUCCAUCCCCUCGAAGAAAGAACACGAGAGGAACGGGCGCCGAAACAGGCAGAGACGGGACACGGAGGGAACCGAGGGGCUCGAGGACACGCGAUUGGACGGCUGUUGCUUCUUCCCUAUCCUGCGGACGGCUCGGCCACUGGGUCGUGUCUCACCAUAGCGAGCUGAGUGGAGAGCCGUGUAUCACCGCCCUGGUCUACAGGCACCCCCCUCCCCUGCCCCAUCUGUGUCUCUGAAGAAAGCCAACGGUUCUUCUGGACUCUGGAAAGCGUUGUUCAGACACCAUAAAUCUCGCAGAGGAGAAGGCACUCUCGAAUGUAAAUGCGUCAGUAACUUUUUUUUUUUGGAAAGAUAUUUGUUUGUUUUUGUUAUUCCAUAUUUUCUGCACUCCUGAGCAGUUGGUGCGGGAGCUGCUGUGAGAUCAAGGGGUAAGCACUUUCCUGCACGGCACCCCGAGGCGGACAUGGCUGCAGUGUGGCAUCCAGCUGGGUGCUAGAUGGGACUUGCAUCGGUGAUGCCGCGUCCUACCAACUCGCAUUGUACCUCUUGAGCUGUGGCACCAACCAGCGGAGCACCAGAAUGCUCACAACAAUGAUCUGGAAAUAGAGGAAACAUCAGUUUGUCUUUCAUUUGUUUUUCAGUUCCCAUCAUAACAAUUUGUUUUAUUUAUUUAUAUAUAUAUUUUUUUAAACCUACGCUCAGCCAGCUUGCCUGAAGUGCCUCUCCCCCCCCAUAGUUCACUGUUUAUGAUCAAGUUAGUUGUAAUUUUAUGUAUUGACAGGGCAGGUUCCCAGUGCUCUGAAGUUGGAGACUGAAUUUAAUUACAAGGCAGCAAGACUCAGUUUCCUUUUUGCGCAGAGGCAGCAUAGUUUUUGGCUCAGCUGUGCAGUCGAACCCUCUCCAGCACUGUGCGCUUGACUUGGGUAUUGGCUGAUUAAUACAGCCAAUUACACGGUCCAGCAUAAAUCCACCUUCAAGUCAAAUGAAUAACCUGUGUGGAAAGAGUGUCUGACGCAAUUCAGUGGAGGGAAUGCUGCUGCCAGGAAGUGUUAAACACAAUUUUUUUUGGGUCCAACCUCAGAAGCAAAGAUAAGUUAUCUUAAAGAGAGUCUGUGAUCAGUCAGUCUUUCUAAAACUGUUAUUGUUUCUACC
rnacentral:lncRNA from 1 species